UAGGGAAUAUUGGACAAUGGGGGCAGCCCUGAUCCAGCCAUGCCGCGUGAGUGAAGAAGGCCCUCGGGUUGUAAAGCUCUUUUGUCCGGAAAGAAAAGCAUUCGGUGAAUACCCGGAUGUUCUGACGGUACCGGAAGAAUAAGCACCGGCUAACUUCGUGCCAGCAGCCGCGGUAAUACGAAGGGUGCAAGCGUUACUCGGAAUUACUGGGCGUAAAGCGUGCGUAGGUGGUUGUGUAAGUCUGAUGUGAAAGCCCUGGGCUCAACCUGGGAAUGGCAUUGGAAACUGGGCAGCUAGAGUGCGGUAGAGGGUAGUGGAAUUCCCGGUGUAGCAGUGAAAUGCGUAGAGAUCGGGAGGAACAUCUGUGGCGAAGGCGACUGCCUGGACCAGCACUGACACUGAGGCACGAAAGCGUGGGGAGCAAACA
rnacentral:rRNA from 1 species